rnacentral:lncRNA from 1 species
GGAGGUUGACUUUGAUCAAUUGACCUCCUUUCCAUAGCCAUUUUUCUUUACCUUCAUCCCCUUACACAAAGUCCAUUCUUAAGAUCUCUAGUUCUCUCUCAAUGGCUGCUAAAAGUUCCCGAGAUUCUUCUUCGUCCUCUUACCAGUGUUCCUAUCAUGCCUUCUUGAGUUUCAGAGGCCAGGACACGCGCAGGGGCUUUACUGAUCACCUCUAUAGAGCUUUGGAGCUAGCAGGAAUCCACACCUUUAGAGACGAUGAUGAAAUCAAGAGAGGGGAGAAUAUUGAGUCGGAGUUAGAGAAGGCGAUAAAGGAGUCACAAGUAUCCAUAAUUGUCUUCUCCAAGGACUACGCUUCCUCAAGGUGGUGUUUGAACGAACUUCUGAAGGUCGUGGAACGUAGAAAUACUGAUCGUAGACAUGUGGUUCUGCCAGUUUUCUAUGAUGUGGAUCCAUCCGAUGUCAGGAAGCAGAGUGGUACUUUUGCUGAAGCAUUUGCCAGACACGAGGAGCGAUUCAGUACGGAGGAGAUGGACAAGGUGGAGCUGUGGAGAAGAGCUCUUAGACAUGUUGCAAGUUUGGGAGGCAUGGUUUUAGGAGAUCGGUAAUUUCUAUUCUCAUUAUGUUCUCACGCUAAUUGAAAGUGUCUUUUAAAUUAAGUAAAAUUGUAGAUGGCAGUGAAACUUGAAGUUGUUCGCCUAUAUAUACUGCAACUUUGAUUUAUAUGUUCCUAUCGAUUCAAAUGAAUUACAGGUAUGAGGGGCAGUUCAUCCAAGAUAUUGUUGGAGAGAUUAGAAAUAAAGUGGAUCACGUAGCUUUAGACGUCGCUCCCUUUGCAGUUGGAAUGGAUGCUCGUGUGAGACGCCUAAACAUGUGGUUACAAGAUGGAUCAAAUGAUGUUGGUUUAGCUGUCAUCUGUGGGAUGGGUGGAAUUGGCAAGAGCACCAUCGCGAAAGCCGCUUAUAACCGCAACUUUGAUAGAUUUCAAGGUAGCAGCUUUCUUGCAGAUAUACGAGAAUCUUCAGAACAACCCAAUGGUUUUGCUCUCUUGCAAAGAAAACUUCUUUCAGAUAUCCAAAACGGGAAAGCAAAGAAAGUAUACAAUAUGGAUGAAGGAACAAUCAGGAUCAAACAAGCCGUAGGUUAUAAAAAAGUUCUUAUUGUUCUUGAUGAUGUGAGCAACCGGGAUCAACUCAAUGCAAUUCUUGGAAUGCGAGAGUGGCUUCAUUCAGGAAGUAAAAUUAUCAUAACAACUCGACAUGAACAUUUGUUAAAUGCUCACGAUGUUUUUGAAAAGUUUAUGGUUCAAGAACUGAAUGAGUACGAAUCACUUGAGCUUUUCAGUUGGCAUGCCUUCAGACAAUCCCAUCCGGAAGAAGGUUACAAGGAGCUUUCAAGACAUGUGGUGCAGCACUGUGGAGGGCUUCCUGUAGCUCUUCAAGUUCUGGGAUCUUCUCUAUCUGGAAAAAGUGUAGAAGUAUGGCAAAGUGCAUUGCAGAAGUUAGACGUGAUCCCUAAUGACAAAAUUCAAAAAGUUCUGAGGAUAAGUUUUGAUUCUUUACAGGAUGAUCAUGACAAAAAUUUAUUCCUUCAUAUAGCCAGUUUCUUCACAGGAAAGACGAUGGAUUAUACAAGUACAAUGUUGGACAGCUUAAAGUUUUACACAAGGAUUGGGAUUGAAAAUCUAGUUGACAGAUGCCUAGUGAAAAUUCAAGGCUCGAACAGGUUGUUGGUCAUGCAUCAAUUGGUGAGAAACAUGGCAAUGGAAAUUAUUUGUGAAGAAUCACCUGAUGACCCUGGAAAACGUAGUAGAGUGUUGCAGAAAGAUGCCUCUAAUAUUUUGAGAAAAUUAAGUGUAAGAACUAUGUUUUCAUGUAUAUGUAUUUUUAGUUAUGAUUUGUUGUCCAGUACUAGUUAUAUACUUAUUCAAUGCUCUGAUUUGUUAGCAGGGUACGGAAAAUAUUAAGGGCCUCAUGCUUAACCUUGCUAGCAAAAUAACGUUUGUUGGAUGUCAUAAAAAACGAUGCCAUGAUGAAGAUUAUGAUGGAAAUUGUUCAAGACGACGUCGUCUUGGUUUCUUCUCUUGGAAGCCAGUUAGCUUUCCGUCCACAAACUCAGCUUCUGCAUCAAAUGAGAUAGAUUUCAAAUCUGAGGCGUUUAGAAGGAUGCACAAUCUUGAAAUUCUCAUGCUCAACAACGUCAACGUCAGGGGAAGCUACGAAGAAUUUCCAAAAAGUUUAAUAUGUUUAUCUUGGAGAGGAUUCCACUUAAAAUCAGUACCAGAAAAUUUUUAUUUGGAAAACCUGGUUGUUCUUGACAUGCGAAAUAGUAGCCUACAACAUGUUUGGAAUGGGAUCAGGGUACGUAACUCUCUCUCUCUCUCUCUCUCUCACUCACUCUCACACACACUUUCUCUCACACAUGUCCAUUAUAUCUUCUUAGAAAUUGAUUAAUACUUCUUAUUGAAAACAGUUCUUUCCGAGGCUGAAGAUUCUUAAUCUCAGUCAUUCGCAUGGCCUUAGGACAACCCCUGACUUCUCAGGACUCCCUAACCUUGAGAGAUUGAUUCUUAAACAUUGCAUAAAUUUGGUUGAGGUUGAUGAGUCCAUCGGAUACCUAGAGAAACUUGUUGUUUUGAAUCUAGAAGGCUGCAAAAAUCUCAUGAAGCUUCCAAAAUUGAGAUCUAUUCAGGAUCUUAUUCUUUCUGGUUGCUCAAAGCUUGUGCUUGGUGCCAAUACGACUGCCACAACUGGUCACUUACAAUCUACAGCUUGUGAAUUGAAGAAACUCAAUCUGCUAUCAGCUAAAUCAUGGUAUUCAAUCUGGUCGCGGGUGUCCCCAAGAAAAAAUAUUGAACCAAGCAGUUUCUCAUUGGCAAGUUUACCACAUUCCUUGACAAGUUUAAGUCUGGAUAGCUGCAAUCUAUCAGAGAUUCCGAGUGCCCUUACUAUGCUGUCUUCGUUAGAGUACUUGGAUCUGAAUAAGAAUCCAAUUACAAGCCUACCAGAGAGCAUGAACAAUCUUGUUAAGCUUCACACUCUUGCAGUAGAUGGUUGCAGAAACCUCACAAUGCUUCCAGAGCUCCCACAUAGUUUGAAACAAUUGAAUGGUAGAGGUUGCACAUCAUUGAAAAGAAUAACAAAUUUACCGAACUUGCACAUAUUACCGGCCACACAUCCCUUCGGCAUGCAAAAGGACAUAGAUUUAAAGUAUUACAACAUAUUAUUGGACUCAAAUUUAUGGUAUUGUGGGAAACUAGUUGAUGUUGUAAGCUUGUUUAAUACACUACCAUUGAGCAGCUUUGACAUAAAACUCCUCAAAGAUAUCGAUCUAUUCGAUUUGAAACCCAACGGUGGCGUUGAGGUCCAAAGGAACAGCGAUUGUGCAAGUUUUGGCAAGCCCAGGCGCUCCAAGGUUCUUCUCUCUCUCUCUCACUGCUAUGUACAAGUGCUUAUAAUAUGAUCUAUGGCGUAAACAAUUAGAUUGUAAUCACAUCACCAUGAAACUGCAGGGAACUUUUGAAUGCGGCAUAUUUAGCAUAUUUGUCCACGAGAGCAAGAUUCCAGAUCGGUUCAAUUACAGGAGCAUGGGUAACAGUGUGUUCUCUAUUAUUGUUCCUUCACAGCCUAAUAUCAAGAUCGUAGGUUUAAAUGCAUGUAUAUUGUAUGCCCGGCAAUCGGAUCGAAGCCCUGAGAUUGCACUUGGAAACUAUCAUUUCUAUUCGCUUGAACUUAGGAAUGAGACAAAGGGCCUUAAGUGGCGUUUACCUAUGUUCAAUGAGGUUGAAUGGAGGGUGAUGAACGAAGAUAUGUUAUGGCUAAGCCAUUGGAUUAUGGGGAACGAUGAAUUGGAAUGCGGGGAACAAGUGCGUUUUGAAAUAAUCGGAGUGCAAGACGGUUUCGUCACAAAGGAGAUUGGAGUCCAGUUUGUGUACGAGCAGCAAAAUAAGGAUAAGGAGGAUGUCCCAUCAAGUAGUGAAGAUCCAAUGAUCCUACCUGACAGAUCGUUUCGGGUCUGGAGCAAAGUAUCGCCUUGGCACUGGAGCGUAGGUUUCGCUGGAAGGGGUGGCCCUAUUGGGAGAGAGACCGGGGUGGAAUACAUCCAUAACAAUGAGAAGAAAGUUAUUUCAACUGUCAUGUGCGCGGCUCAAUACAUUCUCUGUAACCAUGAAGUGAUCGAUCUUGAGAAUGAAUCCCGCAUGACCCCGUAGUAACAACGAGUGCUCUAAACUAUUACCCAGUUUAAUUCAAAUUGAUGGUGAUGAUGCACAAAUCACUAAAUUCAAAUGUGUAUUGGUUGUUAUGCUUCGUUUCUAUCUAUUUUCAAUUUUUCCCUAAAAAAUUGUUUUCAAUAAUUUAAUAUACAAAAUUUCAUACCAAACAAAUUCUUGCCUGUAUAAAGUAUGAAUUUAAAACCUGUUUUUAAGAAAAAUAAAGUUUCAGACCCCAACUAGAAAAUAAGCCCACGAGUUGUGGCGGGAACUAACUGUUUCAGGCGUAACUGCGUGAAUAAGACACAUUUCACAUGUAACUGAAUAAAUAAGACACAAAGUGCAGGAAGUAAAGCUCAUAUUUAGCAGUGUUAUUUUAACAACAAUUGUUCAAGUGGUGGAUUGCCCCCGGUGGGUUGGGCAUUUCUCUUAGUCCUACUGCAUUCCGGGUUCAAAGUUCCAACCAUCCCCCGUACCAGUUUAAGCACACCAAAGACCAAAUUUAGCAUGUUCUUUCGUCAUCCACCCAACCCCAGCAGAUAUACAAAAUUCAAAUAGAACUUGGCAAAUUCAUCCUCUUAAAAUACAAAACGAAAAUAAUUUAUGAUCACUGACCUCUGAGAAUCGAAUGAUAUUCGGAUUCUUCAAUGAUCUGUGGUUCUUGAUUUCCCCUUGAACAUGUUCAUCCAUCUGCAUCACCAAAAAAAAAAGUAUAUUUAAAAAAAAAUACAAAAUGAAAAUAGUUUAUGAUCACUAACCUCUUUGGAUCGAAUGAUAUUCGGAUGGUCCAGUGAUCUAUAGUUCAUGAUUUCCCUUUGAACAUGUUCAUCUAUCUGCAUCACCAAAAAAAUAAUAAAUAUUUAAAAAAAAAUACAAAAUUUAAAGGAUAAGAAUUGCGAAGAUUCUUAGGUCUUAGUUCGAAAUGUAAUAGCUCAUCUCACCUCCAUAUAUUACCAAAUCUUAGUCUAUAUGAUUUUGCCAGAGCCACCGAAUGUUGAAUAUAUAUCUGUUGAAUGUUCUACUACCAUCAACAUUAUAAAGGUUUCUAAUCGAAUCAUAUAUUUAAAAUCCAAGCAUGAAAGUUUUACAAAGAUAAAUAAACAAAUGUAAAUAACUAAUUAGGCAAUACACAGCAGAGAGGGGAGAGAGAGAGAGAGAGAGAGAGCAAUUGAAGGGAAUGCAUAGUUAUCUCUAUCUUCGGAAAAAAGAAAAGAAAAAAAGAGAGCAGUUGAAGGAGUGAGAAGCAAAGCAGCAUACCAAGUGGAGGGUAAGCAAUUAAGCAUAGUCAUCUCACGUACGGAUUGCCUGAGAACUGAUCUUUGCUUCUCUUCCUUAUGAUCCUCUUAAAUGCAAUUCUACACAUUUCUAAACCAAAAUUGCAAAGCAGAAUUCAAAGAAAUUUAAAGAAAUCUAGUAAAGAUUCAAACUUUUUUAUUAUCCAAAAGAUGUACAUAACCCCAUGUAACAAAAACAAAUUUAUGACACAAAAGAAAUUAUCUUUAGCCAACAAAAGCAAAAAAGAGAAAGAGAGAGAUUUUGCUUUUUGCACUAUGCAGAAUGUGCAGAGAAUCAAAAUAUCAUAACCCAUUUAACAACAUGAUAUUUUAGGCAAAAAGGCAUCACCUUUAGACCCCAAAUGAAAGAAUUUGAGAGAGAGCGCAUACGUGGUUGCCAAGAAGAGGAAGAGAGCAAUUCUAUUUCCUGUAAAAAUGAAGAAACAGAGCAUUAACAAACACACAUGCACAAAUCUCAAAAGGAAAUUGGUAAGAAAUAAUCGUAAUUGAGAAAAUAAUCAAAAAACUAGAGAGCACACAACUGGAGUCUAAUUCUACAGAACCCACGAGUCGACAAACAAAUAUCCAAAAUUAACAGAUUACAGUAACAACAUUCCAACAAAAGUAAGAAGACCAGAAAAAUUAUCUAUUCUAAAGUACAUUAGUUCCAUCAUGCAUAAAUCAAGGGAGUCACGGAAGGCCAGUAUCUUAAGGUAAUCCAACAUGUUAAAGCAUCCAAACAGAGACUCAGAAUUACAAAACGCAUGAAAAUUCACAUUCCAACGUGUUAUGGAAUCACCAAUUUCAGAUCAACCAAAAUCAAAUAAAUUUAUAUCAGUACGCAUCAAACCCACCAAACCCAAAAUCAAAAGAAGGUGAUCAAAUGUUUGAUUUUGCUAAAUAUUACAAAAUAAAAUAAAUAAGAAUAUGUACAAAUCAACAUGCAUACCUUGUAGCGGUGCAGGGAACAGUAGCGUGAGCUGCAUCGAGGGCAUGUGUACUGGGAAAAUUGCUACUGGCAGCUGCAACUAACAAAAACAAAAACAAAACAAAAUUGAAUAAAAUCAAAAUCGGAAAAAUUUCCAGAAAAUAAAUAAAACAAAUUAUCAAGCUUUGUUGAUGAAAGAGAGGUGGGGUUGGUGAAGAACAUACACGCGGCUAUGAGCAGUAGACAAAAGAUUUCAAAAUGAUUUCUUCACUUUUCAAUCAGGACAUGCACGAAUAUAAAAAUGGCAGAGAGGAUUAAAACCAUACCAAACACUAGAAAAUCAAGUAUAAAAAUCGUACUUACCUUGUGAAUGAGGACAUGCAGACACAUGAUGGAUGAAGGACAGCAAAUCCCGCAUACACGAACCUAACUUGCCACUGUUCGCCACCCCCACCCCUCCCUAUCUCUCUCUCCCUGCAAUCGCGACGAUUUCUGUCACUGUCACCCUCCCACUCCCGAAUCGAAUAUCCGCACGAAAUCUCUCUCUCUCUCUCUCUCUCUCUCUCUCUCUCUCUCUCUCUCUCUCUCUCUCGCUCGGUUUCUCUCACUGUCACCCUCCCACUCCCGAAUCGAAGAUCCGCACGAAAUCUCUCUCCCUCUACAAGCGGCAUGGCCGCUGUCCCUCUCUGUCUGCCCUCACCAUCAAUCCCAAUCCCAAAAUUAAGAUGACAAAAGUGCCCUGCAACCCUUUAAUUCUAGCCGCGUGAUCCUAACCCUAGAUGAAUAUUUCUGGAAUUUGAACACCCAAAGUAUCUCAUCAAAUGUGGAUGUACCCACAGUAUGAAUCUGAGAAUUUCUCAAUUCAACUCUCGAAAUUACUGUGACAGUAUUAAUAUAUCAUGUGGAAUGAGGUGGUAUUAUGGUAAAAGAUAGAACUUUAGCUGAUGGUAAACAACAUUUGGGAAUUUGAUGUAAGCCGGCUGGGAAUCCCAAAUGUUGUUUACCAUAAGCUAAAAUUUAAUCUCUGAUUAAAAAAAUAAUAAUAAAAAGCACACCUCAAACUGACAAGGACCAUAAUUUUCAAGUGACACUGCUUUUCAAUGGUUACCAUAAAAAAAAUAAUAAUAAAAGAACUGAUCAUUUGAAUUAUUCAUGACAGAACCAAUUUUGAUUUGAAAUAUGAUGGCCAAGAACAAAUCACACUGCUUUUCAAUGGUUACCAUAAAUUUUCAGAAGUUACAGAAGAUUUUUUUAUCAAAUGAAAAGACAAUGGUCACAUAUAUCUACAAUUAACCACCAGUAAGCGUGAAAUAUUACAUCACAAUGCAAUAGCAGCUAUACAGGAUGCCAUGCCAUUCAUACUAUGACAAAUCACAAAAGUGACAAUUAAAGGGCACCUAACAGACACCCCCAUCUCUCUCUCUGCAAUAGCAGAAAUCCCUCGGGUUUCAGAAAGCAAAUGGAAAACAAAAUGCUUUUACAUCCCCUACCCAUACCCAUACCUCCCUUUACCCGUUCCCUUUACCCUCGCAGAAAAUCCUCCCAUCUCUCUCUCACCCUUGUCCCAUCUCUCUGUCUGCAAAUCGCAGAAAAGAAACCCUGAACAAAUCACUUAAAUCCCUCGCCUAAAUCCUCCCACAUUUCUCUCAGACACCCCCUAUCUCUCUCUCUUUGCAAACCCUAAACCAAAUCUCCUAAAUCCUAUCUCGGACACCCCACACAAAGCCAAGAAGCCAAGAUAUUAAAGCAAUCUCUACAUAAUACUAUGGAACAAUGAAGCAAAAUGGUACUUACUUGUUCCUUGUCCAAAACCGUUGGUGCCACCGCACAUUGUUAUCAAUUGUGGGUUGAUCAAAUCCUUCAUGGCUUAGACUGCAUGAAGAAUUAGAAACUAAAAGAUGAAUAUAUGCUGUAAAUCAUCAUAUAAAUGUAAUUGCAUUUAAAAAAAGAAGGGAAUGAAAAAAUUGAAUUCUAUUUCAUCAGUAUGUAACUGCAUGAAAAGUUACAUUGAAUGCAAACUCAAUCAAUUUCCCCAAAGUCAUUGUUAACUGAAAAUCAAUACCAAACCCAUAUAUACCACCAUUGAAUUUGCGAAACCCAAAAACAAAAUACAAAAAUUUACUCAUAUAAUCACAGAAAAACAUGAAAUUUGAGCACACAUUUGGCAAAGUUAAAGGAUAAAGGCACUCACAUCAUCGUAGUACUCUUUGGGAAGAUCUUCUAAUACUGGUUCUUCCUUUUUCUUGCUCUUCCUCAGAGCUGCCAUAAAAAAACCCAGAGAAGCACACAAAUUCAGAAAAGAAGAGGUCCAAAACUGCCAUAAAAAAUCCAGACAGCAUACAAAUUUAUCAGAACAAAAACCAAAUGAUGUGAGUGAUAGUGAGAGAGGUUGUGUUAGGCACCUGAAACACGUUUUGGUUUCAAUUGAAACGGCCAGAGCGUUGCAUGUGAGGAAGAUGACGAUAGGAUAUCCACAUUCUUUUUUCUUGGGUGAACUAACCAAACCAUAUUAUAUACUAAAACGACAUAAAAAAUCAUUAACAAAAUCACAACAAAAUAGAACAAAAACAUUCACAAAAGAAUUCCCCAAGUUUUCAAAUGGAAAUUAAACAUUUACAUAGCUUAUAUAAAAAGCCAAAAUAUAAAAAAUUAAUCAAAAGGUUGAGAUAACUCACAUCCCAGUAAUGCUUAUUGCUGAUAUUAACACCCACUGACAGCAGCCCUCGGUUUGUGGAAUUCCCACGCCCAACUCCAUGACCUCUCUCUCUGCCAUCCCUCUCUCCCUCACAACCAUACCCACUUUCGACCCACCCCUCAAUCCCGACACCAACCCUUGAUUUAAGGAGGAAAAAUCAAUACAACCACCCUUUUCGCAAGCCUCACUCCUCCCGCUCCCUUCCCCUCCCUGCCAAUCCCAUGCCCAUCUCCCUUGUUGUAGCUCUGCAACCCACGUUUUUUGGCACCAAACACUAUGUCCUAGGAUGAUGUGACAAUUUAUCAAAGUCAGAAAAUGCAUUAUCUCAGUUUAGGUUGGUAGCAUAUAUGAUCCCCGUGCAGCAACAUAGAAUACUUAGUAAAAGUUGCAUUUCUGAGAACAAAUAACCAAGAUGCUUGACCGAAAAAACAAUGCAGAUGCUUUAGUAAUACAGAAUUACAGUUUUAUUCAAGCUUCUCAGUCACAAACUAACCUUCCUUUGUCGAGCAGCAAGGAAGAGGGGGCGAAAAUUGAUUCCUGGAUGAGCUUUUUCGUUCAAAACUAAGUCGAGCUGCAAGGACGAAGGGUCGAGGAUUGUUCGUGAGCUGGUGUUGCGGAUAUAAACAUAUAGAAAGCUCCACUGUGUCAUAACAAACACAAAUCAAAUAUGAUCACCAUGUCACAUUAAUUACCUAAAAUUCAAAAUGUUAUAUACAUUAGUAUGUUGAACAAAACUCCGCCUAUGUAAGUUUAUCUUACAUUGCCGGUCCCAAGCCCGGAUAAAGGAGGAGGGGGAGGGCGUCAGGUAGUCGACAGCCGGCACUCCAUGAUCACGUCGAAUCCUUAUGAAAAUGAAUCCAGAACGAAAUCGCGCUAAAGCUAGGGCGUCACCCGUAAGUGGCGCGCUGUGUAGCCCGAGCACAGUGAUAAGUGAGCAAGGGUCGCUGUAUCUCCAUCGGCACCCGGAUACAGUGUUAAAUGAGCAAGGGGGCCAUAGAAACUUCUUUUCGAACGACUCCACUCAAAGUUGUUUGGGAGCAUAUGCUCCUAUCAACUUUACACGGGACACACAAAAGAAGUACUUUGAUCCUAUUAGACGGGAGAGGGUGAAGAAGCUAGGACAGAAGGGUAGAGUUCAAGAGAGCAAAAUGCGUUUAGGAACGUGGAAUAUAGGAACCUUGACGGGAAAAUCUAUGGAAGUAGUGGAAGUUAUGGUGAGGAGAAGGAUAAAUAUUAUGUGCCUACAAGAAACUAAGUGGGUUGGUCGUAAGGCAAAGGAUCUAGAAAACUCAGGGUUUAAACUAUGGUAUUCGGGCACAAAUAGAACGAGAAACGGUGUUGGCAUCAUCGUGGACAAGACCUUGACACAAGAUGUUGUAGAUGUCAAGAGGGUAGGAGAUAGAAUCAUGGCAAUCAAGAUUGUAAUAGGACAAGAACUUAUCAAUGUGAUUAGUGCGUACGAACCUCAAGUAGGGUUGGAUACGAGUUCGAAGGAGAAAUUUUGGGAAGACCUUGGAGACUUGGUGCGAGGAAUUGCUCAGACGGAGAAGUUAUUUAUAGGAGGAGAUUUAAAUGGACACGUGGGCAGGGAGACAGGCAACUAUGGAGGUUUUCAUGGUGGCCAUGGUUUUGAGGAGAGAAACGAGGAUGGGGAAGCUAUCUUGGAUUUUGCAAUGGCAUAGAGGAGGGGGAGGGCGUCAGGUAGUCGACAGCCGGCACUCCAUGAUCACGUCGAAUCCUUAUGAAAAUGAAUCCAGAACAAAAUCGCGCUAAAGCUAGGGCGUCACCCGUAAGUGGCGCGCUGUGUGGCCUGAGCACAGUGAUAAGUGAGCAAGGGUCGCUGUAUCUCCAUCGGCACCCGGAUGCAGUGUUAAAUGAGCAAGGGGGCCAUAGAAACUUCUUUUCGAACGACUCCACUCAAAGUUGUUUGGGAGCAUAUGCUCCUAUCAACUUUACCCGGGACACACAAAAGAAGUACUUUGAUCCUAUUAGACGGGGGAGGGUGAAGAAGCUAGGACAGAAGGGUAGAGUUCAAGAGAGCAAAAUGCGUUUAGGAACGUGGAAUAUAGGAACCUUAACGGGAAAAUCUAUGGAAGUAGUGGAAGUUAUGGUGAGGAGAAGGAUAAAUAUUAUGUGCCUACAAGAAACUAAGUGGGUUGGUAGUAAGGCAAAGGAUCUAGAAAACUCAGGGUUUAAACUUUGGUAUUCGGGCACAAAUAGAACGAGAAACGGUGUUGGCAUCAUCGUGGACAAGACCUUGGUACAAGAUGUUGUAGAUGUCAAGAGGGUAGGAGAUAGAAUCAUGACAAUCAAGAUUGUAAUAGGACAAGAACUUAUCAAUGUGAUUAGUGCGUACGCACCUCAAGUAGGGUUGGAUACGAGUUCGAAGGAGAAAUUUUGGGAAGAUCUUGGAGACUUGGUGCAAGGAAUUGCUCAGACGGAGAAGUUAUUUAUAGGAGGAGAUUUAAAUGGACACGUGGGCAGGGAGACAGGCAACUAUGGAGGUUUUCAUGGUGGCCAUGGUUUUGGGGAGAGAAACGAGGAUGGGGAAGCUAUCUUGGAUUUUGCAAUGGCAUAUGAUCUCUUCUUAGCCAACACCUUCUUUAAGAAGAGAGAAGAACAUGUGAUCACCUACAAGAGUGGGUCGUCAAAAACACAAAUAGAUUUUCUUCUAAUGAGGAAAGGGGAUCGUAUAACUUGUAAGGAUUGCAAAGUUAUACCAGGAGAGAGCGUGGCUAAUCAACAUCGCUUGUUGGUGAUGGAUGUACAUAUCAAAAGAGUAAGACAAAAGAACAAGACUUGGAAGUGCCCAAGGACUAGAUGGUGGAAUCUAAAAGAAGAAAAAACAAGCCAUUUUCAAAAGAGAAGGUAAUCACCCAAUGUGUGUGGGAUAGAGAGGGGGAAGCUAGCCAAAUGUGGAAUUCCAUGGCUAGUUGUAUCCGAAAAGUAGCAAAAGAGGUAUUAGGAGAGUCCAAGGGCUUUGCCCCACACCAAAAGGAAUCUUGGUGGUGGAAUGAGGAGGUACAAACAAAGGUGAAGGCUAAGAAGGAAUGUUGUAAAGCCUUAUACAAGGAUAGGACCGAUGAAAAUGGUGAAAGGUAUAGAAAAGCGAAGCAAGAGGCGAAGAAAGCUGUCAGAGAAGCUAAGUUAGCGGCUUACGACGAUAUGUAUAAACGACUAGAUACCAAAGAAGGAGAGUUGGAUAUCUAUAAACUAUCUAGAGCAAGGGAAAAGAAGACAAGGGACCUAAACCAAGUGAGGUGCAUCAAGGAUGAGGAUGGAAAGGUUCUUGCUACAGAGAACGCGGUUAAAGACAGAUGGAGAGGUUAUUUUCAUAAUCUUUUCAAUGAAGGACAUGAAAUGAGUGCUUCUUUAGGGGAGUUGAGUAACUCAGAAGAGUGUAGAAACUACUCUUUUUAUCGUAGAAUCCGGAAGGAAGAAAUGGUUGUAGCUUUGAAGAAGAUGAAGCAUAGAAAAGCAGUAGGCCCAGACGAUAUACCAAUCGAAGUGUGGAAAGUUUUGGGAGAGACAGGUAUAACAUGGCUCACUGACCUUUUCAAUAGGAUUUUGAAAACGAAGAAGAUGCCAAAUGAGUGGCGAACGAGCACUUUGGUGCCUAUCUACAAGAAUAAGGGCGACGUACAAAAUUGCAUGAACUAUAGGGGUAUUAAGCUAAUGAGUCAUACAAUGAAGCUCUGGGAGAGAGUCAUUGAGCAUAAAUUGAGGCAAGAGACACGGGUUUCGGAUAACCAAUUCGAGUUCAUGCCAGGGCGCUCAACCAUGGAGGCAAUCUAUCUCUUACGAAGAUUGAUGGAAAGAUAUAGAGAUGGGAAAAAGGAUUUACACAUAGUCUUUAUAGAUUUGGAAAAAGGAUUUUAGAGAAAGGAGUACGAGUAGCAUAUAUCCAAGCUAUAAAGGAUAUGCAUGAAGGAGCAAAGACUGCCGUAAGAACUCAUGAAGGACAAACCGAAAGCUUUCCCAUAACUGUAGGAUUACAUCAAGGCUCAUCCUUAAGUCCUUACCUUUUUGCGUUGGUAAUGGAUGAGUUAACAGGACAUAUUCAAGAUGAUAUUCUUUGGUGUAUGCUUUUCGCAGACGAUAUAAUGUUGAUAGAUGAAACUCGGGAAGGGGUAAAUGCAAAGCUUAACCUUUGGAGAGAAGUGUUGGAAUCUAAAGGUCUUCGCCUAAGCCGAGCAAAGACAAAAUAUAUGGAGUGCAAGUUCAAUGCAAAUGGAGGCCAAAACGAGUUAGGGGUGAGGAUCGGAGAUCAAAAAAUACCAAAGAGCGACCGUUUUCGUUACCUAGGAUCUAUCUUGCAAAAGAACGGAGAAUUAGAUGGAGAUCUCAACCAUAGAAUACAAGCUGGAUGGAUGAAGUGGAAGAGUGCAUCCGGCGUGUUGUGUGACCGCCGUAUGCCACUGAAGCUCAAGGGAAAAUUUUAUAGGACGACAAUAAGGCCGGCGAUGCUGUAUGGCACAGAAUGUUGGGCGGUGAAGCAUUAACACGUACACAAAAUGGGUGUAGCGGAGAUGAGGAUGCUUCGUUGGAUCUGUGGGCACACGAGAAAUGAUAAGAUUAGGAAUGAGGAUAUCCGGGGUAAAGUAGGAGUAGCCGAAAUUGAAGGAAAGAUGAGAGAAAAUCGGUUACGAUGGUUUGGACAUGUGCAAAGAAGGCCUACUGACGCUCCGAUUAGAAGAUGCGACUAUGGGACAGAGGUUCAGGGCCGAAGGGGUAGAGGAAGACCUAGGAAAACUUUGGAAGAGACCCUAAGAAAAGACUUAGAGUACUUGGAUCUAACGGAGGACAUGACACAGGACAGAACACAAUGGCGUUCUAAGAUUCAUAUAGUCGAUCCCACUCAGUGACUUGGAUUUUCCAAGUCUCCAACCGAGAAGUUUUCCUCACUCGGGAAAUUAAGGGAACACUACCUCAACCUACAUGCUCCACUCACAAAGCUUCAACAUACAAGCUUCAACAAAAGAAAAUUCAAAUAACUUAGCGAAGAAGGCUUUGGUGUAUUUAACACAAUACGUUGAAAUGAAGGAAAACUUAUUUAUUGAUAGCCCUGAUAAGUUACAAAUAUGUACAUAUACAUGAGUCAAAAUAAACAAACAAGAGGGAGCCUUCACAAAGGUCGCUUAGGAGAAGUCUCAGCAGUCGGUAGAGCCCCAGAAAGAAAAGGCACCGGAGGGGGAUCAUUCGGAGCCUCAGUACUGGACAGAACCCUAGAAGGAGGAGGCAUCAGAGGUUGAUCACUUGGAGCUUCAUUACGCGGUACAGCCCCAGAAGACGAAGGCAAUAAAUGCCUUUGGAACAAACCCACAAAUCUCUGAUGAUCAAGUAAAACCUGACCAUCAGAUUCUUUCAUCUGGUCAAGCUUCCUCUUCAUGUUUGUAGCAUAGUCAUGUGCGAGCCGGUGCAACUAUUUAUUCUCAUGCUUGAGCCCUCUAAUCUCCUGUUUGAGACUCAUCACUUCAGCCGCCAAUGAUUCAACUUGGCGGGUUCGAGCAAAUAGGCGUUGGGCCAUAUUAGACACAGAACCUGCACACUGAACACUGAGAGCCAGAGAAUCCUUAACAGCCAACUCAUCAAACCGUUUGGAAAGUAGUCUGUUAUCUUUGGGAGUGAGAACGUUCCUGGCCACUAUCGCAGCGGCCAUAUCAUUCUUCAUCACGGAAUCCCCAACGGUAAGAGGACCAGUAGGGGAGAUGAAGGAUGGGCGCCAUAUGUUGUUUGGAGAAGGCGGGGCUGCCUCUUCAACAAGGUUCAAGUCAAAACGACGGUCGGAGGGGCCAGACAUUUUCAAAGGUGUUGAAGAGAGAAGAGGUCGGACAAAUCAAGAUCUUAGAAGUGCAAGAAUGAAGCUUCUACUGGUGAAGAUUCAAGUGUGCUUUGGAACUUAAUGCUAGCCUCUAUAAAAAUCUGCACUAGACGAAGCUUCAGAAAUCGAAGAGGUGCCUGCUCAGAAAUCGAAGAGGCAUUUGCUUUCUCAAAAGCUGGGCUGCUCAGAGACCACGAGGGUCGACCUCAGAAAUCGAAGAGACGUUUGCUUUCUCAAAAGCUGGGCUGCUCAAAGACCACGAAGGCCGAUCUCAGAAAUCGAAGAGGCUUGCUUUCUCAAAAGCUGGGCUGCUCAGAGACUACGAGGGCCGAUCUCAGAAAUCGAAGAGGCACAUACUUUUCCAGCCUUGUCAACACCUGUCACACGCACACUCAGCUUUGCGGAAAUUAUUGGCAUUCUGUCGAAGAUUUCUGAUGAAGUAGAAAGCACAUGAAUCGUACUGUUCAAUCACCCACUUCCCACACGCAACAGUAGCUCGAGGGUACCACAGAUAACUUUGCCAAAGUUAUCUGACAAAGUUGAGACACGUGAAGCUUACAGCUCCCACUACAUCGCUCUGGCCAAGAAGGGUAAAAGAAUAACAAAGAAACAACACUAACAAAGUUUAGACACAUAAAUUUUGAAGGUCUAGCUACCAUAUUAUUACCCACAAGGGUAAAGGAACAGUACCAUUGCUAGAUAAUUGGAAGGUCCCGGUGUGUCAACCUCUGUACUUCGUGGCACGAUAGACUAGCAAACAUGCAUAACCUUUACUCACAUUCGAGAAAACACUUCCAACAAGAUUGCUUGCUCCAAUAUCGAAGAGGCACCGCCUUCCGAAUCUCGAGAGCCAGACUCCCAACAUGAUUACUUUCUCAAAAAUCGAAGAGAGGGUAAAGGAACAGUACCACUGCUGGAUAAUUGGAAAGUCCCUGUGUAUCAACCUCUGUGCUUCGUGGCAAUGUAGACUAGCAAACAUGCCCAACCUUUACUCACAUUCGAGAAAACGCUCCCAACAAGAUUGCUUGCUCCAAAAUCGAAGAGGCACCGCCCUCCGAAUCUCGAGAGCCAGACUCCCAACAUGAUUACUUUCUCAAAAAUCGAAGAGACACCGCUAUCCGAAUCUCGAGAGCCAGACCCCCAGCAGGAUUGCUUUCUCAAAAAUCGAAGAGGCAUCAUUCUCCGAAUCUUGAGAGCCAGAUCCCUGACAGGAUUGCUUGUUCGAAAACCGAAGAAGCACCACUUUCCCAACUUCAAGAGCUGGAUCUCCUUAGAUAAAGCUUGUCUGUAAUCUUCACACGCAACAUCAGCUUUCCAGAUACCACAGACCACUUUUUCAAAGUGCUCUGACAGAGUUAAAACAUGUGAAGCUGGCAGCUCCCACUACCGUGCUAUGACCAAGCAGGGUAAAGGAAUAGCAUUAUUACUUGAUGUUAGGGAGACUCAUAUAUAUGUCGACCUCCAUCCCCAAUGGACAGGCAGACCUGCAAAAAUGCUCAACCCUUCCUCUUAUCUGAGAGGGCACUCCCAACAAAGCCUUUCGAAAUAUUCAGCUUUCUUUCUUCCCGAUAAUACCUCUGCAAACAAGCUAUACUAGAGCAAGAAUAUCUCAUAUCAUCAGGGUUAAAAGCAAGAGUAUCCCAUAUCAUGCUUUUUCCCUGUCUUUUCCUUUGACCUUGUUCUUACCUGCAAAACAAGGAGAAAGAGAGCAAUCAGUCAGCACUUGGAAUCAAGCUUCCAGCCAGGAACUGACUGCCUGGAACCCCUUACCUGAGUACUUACCUGGCAUUGCUCUCGAGUACUCAUCUUCAACAUCUUAUGCUUCCAGGGAAGAUACCGCAUCUGCUUGAGGAACAGAUAGGGCAAGUGAGAAGGAUACAAAGAAGCAUGUGGAGACAAGCGUAACAGCACACGUGCCAAUACAUCCACUACUCUGUCAAAAGCAAAAGUAUCCCAUAUCAGCAGGGUCGAACGUACUCUAGAUUUGAUGGACUUGUUUUGACCCUCAAAUUCUUCAGUCGGCCUUAUACUUUGGAGGAAACCAAAAAACCCUCCAGCCCAGUUCAAGAAUAAGCCUGUGGAAAGUUACUUCUUCAAAAGCAAAAGUAUCCCAUAUCAUCUCUUCUCAUUUUUCUUCUCUUUAUCCUUCAUGCUGCCUGCAAGAUAGGGAGAAUGUGAACAAUCAGCCGGAGCUCUGAUUGCUUACCUUGUCUGUCACCUCUUUCAGCAGAUCCCCUAGCUCGGCGACUUGGGGGACUCCUACUACAUGGUUUGUAUCGCGCUUGACCAAGCCUGAAAUUACAAGUAAGCUUCAAGUGAAAUUGAUACAUUACCUUGUGCAUCUCCACCAGUUAAAGAUACCACCCCUGGAUGGAGGAAGAGUACUUCCAGAGAAGAUGCCACAUCUACCUAUGAGACAGAUAAGGCAAGUCAAGACGAUACCACACUCCGGUACUUAGAAGUUUCGUGAUUACGAGAUCAUUCUCCCACAAUAUUUCCUAAUGUCAUUUGUACUAAAUCAUUCACUUGUACUCACUAAAGGAGAGUUUGAACCUAUGUACUUGUGUAAACCCUUCACAAUUAAUGAGAACUCAUCUAUUCAGUGGACGUAGCCAAUCUGGGUGAACCACGUACAUCUUGUGUUUGCUUUCCUAUCUCUAUCCAUUUAUAUACUUAUCCACACUAAUGACCGGAGCAAUCUAGCGAAGAUCACAAAAAGCGAUCGUUUUCGCUACCUAGGAUCUAUCUUGCAAGAGAACGGAGAAUUAGAUGGAGAUCUCAACCAUAGAAUACAAGCUGGAUGGAUGAAGUGUAAGAGUGCAUCCGGCGUGUUGUGUGACAGUCGUAGGCCACUGAAGUUCAAGUGAAAAUUUUAUAGGACGGCAAUAAGGCCAGCGAUGUUGUAUGGCACAGAAUGUUGGGCGGUGAAGCAUCAACACGUACACAAAAUGUGUAGCGGAGAUGAGGAUGCUUUGUGGGAUGUGUGGGCACACGAGAAAGGAUAAGAUUGGGAAUAAGGAUAUCCGAGGUAAAGUAGGAGUAGUCGAAAUUGAAGGAAAUAUGAGAGAAAAUCGGUUCCGGUGGUUUGGACAUGUGCAAAGAAGGCCUACUGACGCUCCGGUUCGAAAAUGUGACUACGGGACAGAGGUUCAGGGCCGAAGGGGUAGAGGAAGACCUAGGAAAACUUUGGAAGAGACCCUAAGAAAAGACUUGAGUACUUGGAUCUAACGGAGGACAUGACACAAAACCGAGCGCAAUGGCGUUCUAGGAUUCAUAUAGCCGACCCCACUUAGUGGGAAAAUGUUUUGUUGUUGUUGUUGUUGUUGUUGUAUUAGUAUGUUGAACAAAUUAGUUACAUUUCAUUAUACUAAAAAAUUUACAGAAUAUGAGAAAUAAAGAAUUUGUAUUGUUUAUAUAAAAAUAGAAUAACAAAGAACAUCAUUGACUACCAUUUUAUUCGGUAGUUUCCUCCAACUGCAAUUGUUGAGAUUGUAGGAGAUCUUCGAAUAAAGCCUUCAAUUCAACCAUCCGUACACAAACAUAAUAGACAAUGUUUUUUAGCGAAUUAUGGACAAAGCUUAAUAUUCAAAUGCAAUGAAAUGGAAAACACAAUCCAAUUCUAGGACGAAUUGAAUCCUUAUUAAUCCUUCCUGGUCUAGUACCUAAGAACCAAUGAAGUGGCAAUAUAUGGAUAUGCAUGCUAUAGGAAACCAUUCAUUUGUAGAUGGUAUUGUGUCACCAAUAUUGUAUUUAAAAAUCUACCCAAGAUAAAGAUGCAAUAUAUAGUUUGGUAAAAAAUCAAAACGAAGAGUUAACAAAGGAAAAGGAUUAAGACGUUGAAAAUACAAAACUGGAUUCUUUUAUUUGGUAAAGACGGUUCCCCCACUGGCUGUCCGAAAUCACAAACACUUUUUUACAUAGAAACUUUAUAAACUAAUAGAUUAAAAUAAGGGAGUUUUGACAAAACACUCCCGGUACUGUUCAUUUUUAACGAAAAACCACUUUUUUACCUUUAACUGGUACUAUUCACUAUACCUUCAUAAAGGGUUUUUCGUUAAAAGAGAAGUUUUUUUGGACUUUUUGUUAGUUUUCCUUUAAAUCUAAGUGUUAUAAAUGAAAAAUCCUGGGAUUGAUAGCAAUGGCAUCAACAGUGCCACCACAUCCCAAAUAAAUGAAUGAAAAUAUAGUGAUUAAUGUCCAACAAAGAAGCUCAAGCUUGAAAUAAACCAAGGCAUAAAAGCUUACCAAACUUUUCAAAUGGCUAAAUUGUUCAUUUAACUUAAUAACUUCUUCCUACAAUCCAUAAGUAAGACCAUUAGAUGCGGUAAAUAAAACAUCAUACUUCAUAUAUGGCAAUCUAGCAGAGAAACCAAUUGCAUUCAGAUGGAGCCUAAUUUGUGGAACUACAUUUAUAUGCACUGAAAUGCAUUAUCAUGUUGUCAUAUUUAAAACUGAGGUUAUGCAGUAUGCUAUCUUUAGCAUACACAAAAUUUUUGCACCUCAUUUUUGAAGUUCUGCACUUCAUAAUUUAUAUACUUUCAGUUUCCCUUCUAAUGAAGGUAUGGCUGCUUUCCAUUUGGAAUUUUCGCAAGACAACGUUAUGAUAUUCCUAAUUUAGAAUGCGUUUCCAUUCUAAUGAAUGCAAGCCCUAAAUCAUAAAUAUUGUAUAAUUAGAUCUCAAUUACUCUGAUGUGUUUGAGCACGUGGCAGGGCAUGAGAAUCAGAACCACUCCUUGUUGUUCUCUGCUUCGUGAUUUGGUCAUCAAACAAUACUUCAUUCCCUCCAUCCUUUAUCACGUCUUCUUGGUGAUCAUUUGUUCAUCUCCAAACUGUAUCCACAAAAAACUACAAAUUAAUCCCAAAAACAAUCAUACAAAAAAAUUGCGGAUUAGAUUUGAUUACGUACCAUUUUUCACCUUAAACAUAGACAUUUUAAACCAGAAACCAAAAUCAAACAAACAUAAAGAAAUACGACUGACAGAAUCACACUGUAAGACACCACCCCCUCGCUUCCACGGUUCCACCCACAACACCAAAAACAACAAUAACAAUAAUAACAAUGUACACUCAGACAAAACAAAAAUGCACCACAGCCCUCCAGUGCUAUAACAGCACUUCUAGGACAACUUUGAUAUCUAUGGACUGUUCCCUUCUCCAUGUUACAACGAUAGUAUUAGAGCUCUUACAACAUCACAGAUGCAUGACCAAGAGUGUAUUCGACAACCUUUUCUCUGAUCCUUUUCAUCAGUUGGUCCUAAAGAUUCUAUUCUUCUAAAUUCAUCUUCUUUUUGGGUAUCCACAGACAUUUAUCACUUCAUAUGUCGAACACAAAACACCUAACAUUUUGGGUGACAAAUUAGAAGCAACUAAUCGGAAUCUGGGUACUGAGAAUUAAAUUACUCUUUGUUCUUAUAGUCCUGAUGGAAAUUACUCAUUGAUUCAAAAUUAAUCAAACUAAAAUGCAAGAAAAGCAAAAUCAACAACGCAUAUCAGAAUAAUAUGAAAAGAUCCCAACAAACCAACCAAACAAUUAACAUUAAAAAAAAAUUGCAAACUUGGAGGGAAAGAAGCACCAGAAAAAAUAUACACAUCCAAUGCUUUUAAUCCAAAGCUAGAAGUAUGAAUAACUGAGUAAGUUAAUGAAGGCAAAGCAGAGGGUAGGAAGCAGAACAUACCAAGAGACCAAUAGGGCAUCCGAGCCGGUCUGCCGAUGAACGCCGUGUCCUGGUCGACAACGCCCAACGGCGUCGGCCUGGCAAUGAAGUAAAAGUCGAAAACACCCCCAAUGACCUUGUAGGUGAGAGAAGUCCCUCUGUAGAACACAUCCAUGCCAUUACUGUUGAGCAGCAGAAAAGAGUGCGCGUAAGCCUCGUUGCCCACAUUCUGAAGAUCCAUGUAAACCCGGGUGGGACCCGUACAAAUCAGUGUUGAGAUUGAUCGCCGAGACUUCAGUAGUGACGAGGGUGUAUGGAUCGUUCGGGUAGAGCUUGAUCCCGUGUGGCUGAGUGUUCUCUCCGAGGCCGUACAGGGAGGCGUCUUUCGGCGGUCGGGUGGAUAUCUCGAGGUACUGGUCCUUAAACACCAGUUCGCCAUAUGGGUCUUUGGAUUCGGAGCUCGAAUUGAAGAGGACCUGCCCGUCGGACUUCCUCUUGAAGGUGACCCAAAUGAGUCGGAGAUGUGGCUAAGAAUGAGCUUAGAGCCGGAGUACACUGAGACUUCGAUGGGGUUCUUCGUCUUCGCCUGAAACACGUUUUGGUUUCAAUUGAAAAUGCCAGAGCCUUGCAUGCGAGGAAGAUGACGAUAGGAUUCCAGAGAUAGAGAAAAAAGGAGUAAGACGACGGAGGCGAGAGAAGGGAGACGGCGGCAAGAGGAGGAUAGGACGGAGGCGAGACCGUCUGUAUCGUGGGUCUGUGAGACGUACAAGGCAAGGAGGGUUUGAGAAGGAAACGGAAAAGGCCUGCUUUACCAUUGUUAUUCCCUUCCCGCGAUCAUCAACGCGUGCGCAACAAGAUCAGCGGCAGAGAGAGCAUGUGGCAAAUUUGUAAAUAAAUUGAAAUUCAUCCCAAAACACUGUUUAUUUGAUUUAUUUGAAUAGUGCAAUUGGAAUCCCUUCUUUAGACUAAAGUAAUUUUUAAGUAGAAUUCCAACCGAGCCGUUAGAUUUUAUGCAAGCCAAAACCUUACCAUUAUUCAUACUUGUCAGAAGGCCUCAGAAGUCUCCACUAAAAUGCUUCCCUAAGCACGAGUACAUAAUGAUGCCACUGACAACUAGCUCGUCGAUCACCUCAGCGCUGCGGUUAAUUGCUUCUGCACAAGGCCUUGAUCACGAAUCAAAGAAUCAUGAGACGGGUAGUGUAGCAUAUCGAUCAAGGCCUUGUGGUACUGUCUGGUAGAUAUUAAUAACUUUGAGUAUAUGUUCACAUAGGUUGCCCAUUUCUGCCCAAUGGCAGUUGCAAAUACCAAACUCGUCAAUAACUUUUGCACAUGUACCGUCUAUGACAAUAUUGCAGUUAAGAAUCUUCAAAGCUUUACGCCAAGAUGUUAAACCACUCGCCCACUCAUCUUUCCAAUAUUGUGCAAAAUCAUCCUUCUCAGAAUAUUCAUCAAGCCAGAAGAAGGAAUGUACUUUUGUACCCAGCUUAUCAACCAACCAAUCAACUCGUUUGUACACUCUAGGUUUCUUCUCGUUCAAUAACCUAAGCUUUAGUGGCUGUGCUAGAACUCCAUUGCCGCAGAGGUUUCCUGGCUAGCAAGAGGAAGAGUUUGUAGUGCAGAUACCCACAUCCCUGAGUCAAAAGACAUUUUUCUUGUACGAGUUAUUCAAGAAUAAGGAUCCUGUUUAAAGAGAAGGGGGUGAAGGAAUUAAACGACACACUUAUUACUUCGUAUCAUAAGGCAAAAUAUACCUCUACUAAAGAUGAUAGUAAUCCAUAAAAUCUUAUUCAUCAAGAAAAUCUUCUAUGAAGUCCUCAGACAAACGCUCGGCUCCUCGUUGUUGACAGAUGUUAUCCACUGCCUAACGAAGCCUUCUUGACAUUGUAGUUCGCAUCUUAUUGUCCACACAUUUCUUUACUAAGUUUUUAUGCCAUGCAUGAGGAACCCGCCAAAAGCUUAUCAACACUGAACACUGAAAUACAUCCUUGAGUAUAACGACAUAAAACUGUCAGUAUCAAGUUUGGGCGAGGACUGAGCAACCAACCGGAUGGUGAGCACAUCAGCUAGAGGAUCAUCCACUAUGAAACCACCCAACUUCCAAAUAGGAUUUUUCGUUUGAACUCUAUUGUAAAGAGCUCUCAUCCAUUUAUGGGCAUUGGAACUUCCAAACUUUGGAGCCACUAUCCACGCCACCGGGAUAGUAAUAAUGUUGCAACAUGAACAUAUUCGGUUUCUCAUUAUUAUUAACAAUUGUAGUUAUAAUAAAAGGUUAAACAAACUAAACGGACCUUCAAUUUGGUUGUUUCGAACCUUGAAUCAGAAAGCUAUAAGGUUGUGAUUGUUGAAGCAAAUCAUCUGUUGCAACUGCCACUCUGUUUGAAUGCCCAAAGUGAAAGGGUCCACAUCAGAGAAAUCCUAAUAGAAGAAAACAUGACUCUGAUGGUUUUCUAGCCACAUGCUAAUGCUAACCGCAUCAUCAGCAUCCAAUUCAUAUAUAGAGCGUCGAAUGACCCUGCCUCCGAACAUACCUAUGGGUUAAAAGGUCAUCACGAUUAGAUGGACCACCCUGUUUCUCUACAGAUUCAUUGUGUCUCUGCAUUAUAGUCUUCACAAAGACCCCUGCAUAUAACAAAGAUUGCACAUGAAGAAGCAGAUCUUCAGAGAUACAAGGGGCAAAUAUAGCACGUGUUCCAGCAGCCAUCUUAUCUUGUGGACCAUGGCAUGGCGCUCCUUUCCUAUCUACAUGCUUAUCCUGAUUAUAUAUGAUAAGCGCCACUGAAGAAUACCAAGUAUACCAUCAACCUUUGGUUUGUUAGGCGUCUAUGGCUGCCGCCGUCGCCUCGCUUCAACAUGAAAUCUUGUUGGACAUUCUUUAUUAGAGCAUUCACCCCUUAGAAAAUCGUCAACUCUAGGAAACGAAAUUAUAGCAACUUCAUCUUUCUUGUCCCGCCAACCUUCCACCUUUGACCACACAAGAUCAGAAGAAGAAAACUCCAAUGCAGGUGGAUUUUCUUUGCAACUGGCUUCGUAAAGUCACAUGUUAAUAACAGUAACAGAGGUCCUUUUUACUCUACGCAAUACAAAAGAAAGUCAAAAACUUCAUAUCUGAUAACAAGAAAACAAACAAACAAAAAAGAAGAAACAAUAUAAUUCUUGCAAUACAUUUCCUUCCCAACAAGAGAAGUUCAAAACUUUAGUAAACAAUUAAACUGAUUUCGUCUAUUUUCAUAAAUUCUCAGAAAUUAACAGUCGAAAAACACAAAUUAAAGGGAAAAAAAGUGAAAUUCUUUGGGUUUUCAAAUAGAGAAAUUAUAUUCACACACCUAAAAUUACUUCUCACACACAUUUUUAUUUUAUUUUUUAUUUUCUACACACUACUAACACUUGAUAGAAAAAGAUUAAAAAAUUAAAAGGAUGUGAGAGAAGUAAUUUAGGAUGUGUGAAUAUUAUCUCCCUUUCAGAUAAGUGAAGUCACUAGCUUCAGAGUCACAGAUUGAGCUAUAUCGAUAUGUAUAGUAUCAGGCCAUUUAUGCAAAAAGAUCCCCAUUUUUUCAAAAAAAUGGGGAUUAGGUGUGGGUUCACUCCACAUCGAACUUUAAUGAUCUGAAUUGUCUAUUUUGUAUAGAACCGGAUCCCCUGCAGAUCCCUAAAAACUAAGCCUCCUGAGCAAAGAAUUAGGACCGUUGAAAUUUGAUCAAACUACUACAAACAGGGCCCCUCUAAAAGUUAUAAUAAUUGUAGCCAUUGGAUUAAAUUUCAACGGUCCAAAUUCAUUGCUCAGGGGGCUCAGUUUUUGGGGAUCGGAUUCCAAUUUGUAAGUCUCAUUUCAUAGAUUAUUCUUACAAAAAUUCAAUUUAAUCCAAAAUCAUUUACCUAUUUUGUAAGUCUCAUUCCAUAAAUGUCAUUAUAUACAUCAUUUCAUGUGCUACCACAUUAUUUGGUUCAGUAGCCACUUUACCCUUGGUUCUCUCAGCAGCUACAUCUCCAUUCCCACAGUUAUUCACAUUUGAAGAUAAUACUUCCUCAUUUCCUAAUUCUUGAUCUCGAUUGGUAAAAGAUGCACAUCCAUUGUGGUAUCGUUACUUUCCAAAUUAGCUGGUCCACUUAAGGAUGCGUUUGUUGCACCGAAAUGUCUCAAACUGGACUAAUUUCAAGAACUAAGCUGAUCUGAUUUAGACUAAACUAAACUAGAUUAAAGCAUUUGGUGCAGUAUCAGACUAAGAAGCAGGAUAAAAAUUAAUUUUCCUUUUUUUUUUCCAAAAACAAAGAACUCUAUCUGUUUCUCCAUUUUCUUUGGUCAAACUAUCUCUUCUCAUUUUUCUCCAUCUCUUCCAUUUUCCUUUCCUGUCCAACUCGUUUUUCCUUUUCUUCUCGAUCACAAAUAUACACAGUUCACAUGCAAACCAAUUUUCCAUCAGACCAAACAAAACCCAUCACCUGCCUCAUCAAUCCAACAAAAUUCCCAAACUUUCCCACCCUAAAAUUUGACAAUUCCAUUCAGAUUAAACAAAAGUUAGAGCUGAAAAACUAAGGAAAGAAAAAAAAAAGAGAAAGGGGAGGGAGAGUAAACAUAUCACCAAUAGUAGGAGGCGGCUACGCCGUAUAGCUUGAGGACGAGCAGUAGCGUAAAGGAGAAGAGGAGGCUGUGGGCCGCCAAGGCCUGCACGGACUUCAACACUCUCCGCUAGUUCAUCAUCACAGUAAAACAAUGUCGUCCGCUGCGAAAGUCGAGACUUCAGAUUGUGAGAAAUCUCAGGAGGAGGUUGCUGUUUCAGUAUGUGCCAUUGAAACGAAAGAGGCAAGAAAUAUUCUUUCUCUCCUUCUUCUUUUUCGUCGUUCGGGUUGACCCAGAUGGCAAAAAAUCCCAAAUCACCGACCUAGAUGCCAAAAGGGCACUGGGUUUGCAGGACGAUGGAGAUCGGCGACAACCGUUUCUGGUUUGGUCAUUGGAGAAAGGGGGUUGAUGCUGCUCAUGUAGGUUUGUAGGACGCUGCUCGCAUACGAGGGAGACGGGACUAGCAAUUCCGUUGUUUUUGGGGGCUUGCUAAGACCUCCAAGUGAGGGAUUUAGUCGAGGCGAGUCCUUCUUUGUCUCAUUUAACUUAGUCCCGCCGGUGAACAAACACAGAUUGCACUAACUUUUAACUUAAGCCAGUCCAGUGAGAGCUAAAGAAGGGAAACAAGCACCCUCUAAUUGUUUCUAUACAGAGACUGCUAAAGAAACAGCAUGAUCAAAAUCAAAGAAUCAUGAGGCGGCCCCAGCAAGCCCCUCAGCGGCUCUACAUCCCUCCGUCCCUCCAUCGUCGCACGGCGGAAACAGCCACGACAACUACGAAGACACCGACCUCGACAACAUCGAUUACGACGACAACGAUGGUUCCAAGGACCCCGGGAGUGACGACAACAACCACGGCAACGCUGGCAGCAGUGAUGAGGAAGUCGAUCCUCUGGAUGAUUUCAUAGAGGGGAUUCAUGCGGAGGUGACGUCAGCUAGGCCGCCGAGCUGAAAGUGAAGGCCGAGAAGUACAGGGAUGAUGAGGAGGAGGAUCAUAUGGAUAGGUUUUUUAGGGCUAAAAAGGAUGUGGUGCUCACACUGGCAUCGGGUGCUUUACACGCCGGAUAUGACUCCGAUGAGGAGGUAUAUGCGACCGCCAAGGCCGUCGAUGCCGGGUUGUUGGAGUACGAUUCAGAUGAUAAUCCCAUUGUUCUGGACAAGAGGAAGAUCGAACCGAUUCCAGCUCUCGAUCAUAGUUCAAUCGACUACGAGCCGUUUAAUAAGGAUUUUUACGAGGAGAAAUAGUCGAUUUCAGGUAAAUUCCAACCGAAUUGAGAAUUUUGUUCCUUUCUUUUUUGUUUUCCAUUCACAUUUAAUUUUUUUUUUAUGAAUUUAGUCGAAAUGCGUAGCAAAGUAUAUAAAUUUGAGUGAGAGAGAAUAUUGACCGGCAGAAGUUCUCAAGAAGACAAUGGAAGACUAGAGUUAACUGGUGUUUUGGUUUCCUUGUUUAGGGAUAAGUGAGGAGGAUGUUUUUUAGUACAAGAAGAGCUUGGCCAUCCGUACGUCGGGUUUUGAUAUACCGAGGCCAGUUAAGACAUUUGAAGAUUGUGGAUUUUCUUCACAACUCAUGGCUGCCAUAAAAAAACAAGACUACCAAAAGCCGACACCAAUACAAUGCGCAGCUCUACCCAUAGUUCUUUCCGGGAGAGAUAUAAUUGGUAUUGCGAAAACUGGUUCUGGAAAGACUGCCACUUUUGUCAUUCCAAUGAUUGUCCACAUUAUGGAUCAGCCAGACCUUCAAAAAGAAAAAGGUCCAAUUGGAGCGAUAUGUGCUUCUACUAGAGAGCUGGUGCACCAAAUAUACUUAAGAGUCCAAAAAAUUUGUGAAAUCACAUGGGAUACGUGUCUCUGCUGUAUAUGGUGGAAUGUCUAAGCUUGAUCAGUUCAAAGAACUUAAGGUAGGAUGUGAAAUAGUUGUUGCUACUCCUGGGAAAUUAAUCGACAUGCUUAAAAUGAAGGCACUGACAAUGCUUAGGGCAACUUACCUAGUACUUGAUGAGGCUGAUCGGAUGUUUGACCUUGGGUUUGAGCCUCAAAUUAGAUCUAUUGUUGGUCAGAUUCGGCCAGACCAACAGACAUUGCUCUUUUCUGCAACAAUGCCCCGUAAAGUUGAAAAAUUGGCUAGGGAGAUUCUCUCAGAUCCUAUAAGAGUUACAGUGGGUGAGGUGGGAAUGGCCAAUGAGGAUAUCACUCAGGUUGUUCAUGUAAUUCCUUCUGAUGAUGAGAAGCUGCCCUGGCUUAUUGAGAAGUUACCUCGAAUGAUUGAUGAGGGUGAUGUUUUAGUAUUUGUUUCAAAAAAAGGCUGCAGUGGAUGAGAUCGAGUCACAGCUUGCUCAGAAAGGUUUUAAAGUCACAGCUCUGCAUGGUGACAAGGACCAGGCAUCUCGGAUGGAUAUUUUGCAAAAAUUUAAAUCUGGCAUUUACCAUGUUCUUGUUGCAACUGAUGUUGCUGCUCGUGGUCUUGACAUCAAGUCAAUUAAGUCGAUUGUGAACUUUGAUAUUGCAAAAGACAUGGACAUGCACGUCCAUCGAAUUGGUAGAACAGGUCGGGCUGGUGAUAAGGAUGGCAUUGCAUACACUCUUAUUACACAGAAAGAGGCACGUUUUGCUGGUGAGUUGGUUAAUAGCUUGGUUGUUGCUGGUCAGAUUGUCUCCACGGAGCUCAUGGACCUUGCGAUGAAGGUAAUUUUGCAGUACUAUUAACAAUUUUUUUUUUUUGUGGUUUAUAUAGCGAGUUUAUACAUGCAUCCAACUACCUGCCUUUUUGUUUUAGAGAUGGUGGUUAUAACCAUAGUUUGUAAUCCUAUAAUGCAUUUAAGCGAAUACAAGUUAUUAAUAUGUUCUCUGGUAAAACGUGCUCUUUUAAUGCAAUCUGGAUUCUGGACAAUUACACCUACUGGUUUUUGUCUCACAAAUUAACUACACUCUACUAUAUAGGUGCAUAGGUUGCUUCUGAUUUAGAGUGCGCUUUCGAGAGAGAUGGAUUUGAUGACCAUUUGGUUUUCAAGGCCUUAUUUUGGAAAGCUUCAGUAUGUCCUUGCAAUUACAGGGAUCUUGAGAUCGUUGACUUCAUAACGUCAAGAUAGUAAAUUUCAGGAAACGUGCUUAGUUUAGAGAGAGAGUAAUUAGACAGUAUUUAGUAGUCCCAUCUUUACUUCAUACCAUGCUCUGCAUAGAGAAGGGGUUGUUGGGGGUGUAUGUUGGCUUGUGGGGCUGUGGAUUGAAGCAUAGGGAUGAAUUGAAGAUAAAGCUCAGUCUGGGCCCUCUGGGGACUUAUUAACUUUUGUGUAUUAUUAAGUACUUGCUUGCAUUAUACCAAUACAUCGGUUGAGGCCAACCAACAUUUAAGAACUAAGAGAAAAAUCGCAUUUUAAGUACUAAAUCUUAAUUACCACAUGGACCCUUAGUAAAUUGUCACUUAUUUUUCCUUGUGCCAAUAUAUCUCAUAGACAUAAAUGCACAACUUAUCAUGAUAGGUGGCUGCACCUGCAUUAGUUUUAGAAGUUUUACACUAUGAGAGCCACUCAUGCAUCAUUUAUUCAGUCUUGUGACUUUUAAUUCUUGCCUUGCUGCUUGUAGCUUUAUAUUUUAUAUCCAUCAUUACACUGGUUUCCAUCUCCUACAUGGAUGUGCAGUUAUUUUGGGUGCACCUCGUCUGUGGAACUUUUGUUGCUUUCCCUAACUAUGUUUCUUGUUUGAUAGCUUUAGAUGUUAGCGUGAGACGUUAGAUUUCAGAUCUUACAUUCUCUAUUUUAAUGGGAUUUACCUUGUUUAUUAUCAGGAUGGUAGAUUUAGGUCAAAACGCGAUUCAAGAAAAGGAGGUAUAAACUUUAAUCAUAUUAAAAUUUCAAUUUUCUUAAGAUUCUUUUGCAAUUUCAUAUUAAAUUAGCCUUUUUCUAUAAUUCAAAUGAUGAUAUUAUAUGGAUUUUGCAGGUGGAAAGAAAGGUAGAGGGAGGGGCGGCGGUGGUCGAGGUGUGCGUGGGGUGGAUUUUGGUCUGGGUAUUGGAUAUAAUACGGAGUCCAAUAGUUCUUCAUCGAAUACUAUUCCUAGUCGAUCUGCUGCAGUAACUCCUCAGAGGACAGGAAUGAUGUCUCAGUUCAAGACUAAAUUUGUUGCCGCUUCAUCUAACUCUCCAAGUCAAGGUUUAGCUAACAACUUUAGUGUGCCCAACAGACCGGCAUUACGAGGAUUUGUAUCCGGUGGUUCAAUAGGUGGUGAUGUAUAUAUAACUCAGGCAACCAGUACAAUUACUCCUACUCCUGCUCCAACAUCAAUGGUAAAUAAAACUGCUACUCCGAACACUGGAGAAAAUUCAAGUCAGAAACCCUCCGAAAGGUUAAUUAAAAUGAUGCUUGGUUAGAAUUUUUGAUGUCUUUACAUAUUUGAUUGGUGUUGAGCAGUUUCAUUUGUGUCGAUUGCAGUUCUAGAGAUAAACCCAGAGAAAGGCGGAGGCGCUCCGGUUGGGACUGUUAACCGUACAGUUGAACUACACCACUUUCGCAUCAUGAAUGACAAGUUUUACCUUUGUUGUAGGUCAAGUCCUGAUAUGCCUGUAUUAUUGUUGAUCUUUCUCACUUUCUUUGUCGCUCUGUUUAUAAGUUAAAAAGAAACAGAAGAUUUUGUAAACUCAGAUCGACUUGUUGCACAAAUAGCGGAUGAUUUAAAAGAUAGACUGUUCAGAUCAUUAAAAUACAUUAUGAAGUAGAUUCUACAAAAAGUUGUGCCAUGUAAAAAAAAUGUGGUGUUUCACAUGUGCUCCGUAUGUUAUUUAUAUUAAUCAUUCUGAAUAACAUCAUAACUCAACGAUUGGUAUAUAAUACAAUAAGGCCUCGUUUGAUGUCAAUGAUUUGAUUGGUUUUGAUUAGAUUAGAUUGGCUUAGUCUGGAGAAUUCACUAGAUUCAGUGAAUGUUGAAUGAAAAUAUGGAUUGCAUAUUUUGUUCAAGUGAAGAUGGAAGAGAAAAAGAAUAAGACUAGUAUAACAAAUCAAAUAUUUACGGAGCAUGCAUAGGUUUUUAAUUACAACUAUUCGUCAAUUGAUACUUCUAAUUUUUGGUUUUAAAUGCUAUUAUCUCUUAAAUAAAAUAAUUAUGUUGUUUUAGUCUCCUCAUCGUAUUGUACGUGUCGAAUUCGUGUGAAGUCUGGUGGGACAAGAGAGAGAUAAGGAGGUUGACUUUGAUCAAUUGAUCUCCUUUCCAUAACCAUUUUUCUUUACCUUCAUCCCCUUACACAAAGUCCGUUCUUAAGAUCUCGAGUUCUCUCUCAAUGGCUGCUAAAAGUUCCCGAGAUUCUUCUUCGUCCUCUUACCGGUGUUCCUAUCAUGCCUUCCUGAGUUUCAGGGGCCAGGACACGCGCAGGGGCUUACUGAUCACCUCUAUAGAGCUUUGGAGAUAGCAGGAAUCCACACGUUUAGAGACGAUGAUGAAAUCAAGAGAGGGGAGAAUAUUGAGUCGGAGUUAGAGAAGGCGAUACAGGAGUCACAAGUAUCGAUGUCUUCUCCAAGGACUACGCUUCCUCAAGGUGGUGUUUGAACGAACUUCUGAAGAUCGUGGAACGUAGAAAUACUGAUCAUAGACAUGUGGUUCUGCCAGUUUUCUAUGAGGUGGAUCCAUCCGAUGUCAGGAAGCAGAGUGGUCCUUUUGCUGAAGCAUUUGCCAGACAUGAGGAACGAUUCAGUACGGAGAUGGACAAGGUGGAGCAGUGGAGAAGAGCUCUUGGAGAUGUUGCAUCUUUGGGAGGAAUGGUUUUAGGAGAUCGGUAAUUUCUAUUCUCAAUAUAUUCUUGAGCUUAUUGAAAGUGUUUUAAAUUAAGUAAAAUUGUAGAUAUGUUCCUAUGUAUACAGCAAUUUGUACGAUGAGCAAUCAUCUCCGUACGACAUAUCAUUUACUACAACUUCAUGUAAAAGAAAAUAACUUAUUUCUGCUUCAUGUAUUUUGAUUCAAAUGAAUUACAGGUAUGAGGGGCAGUUCAUCCAAGAAAUUGUUGAAGAGAUUAGAAAUAAAGUGGGUCACGCAGCUUUAGACGUCGCUCCCUUUGCAGUUGGAAUGGAUAAUCGUGUGCAAGACCUAAACAUGUGGCUACAAGAUGGAUCCAAUGAUGUUGGUGUAGCUGUCAUCUGUGGGAUGGGUGGAAUUGGCAAGAGCACCAUCGCGAAAGCCGCGUAUAACCGCAACUUUGAUAGAUUUCAAGGUAGCAGCUUUCUUGCAGAUAUACGAGAAUCUGCAGAACAACCCAAUGGUUUUGCUUGCUUGCAAAGAAAACUUCUUUCAGAUAUCCAAAAGGGGAAAGCAAAGAAAGUAUACAAUAUGGAUGAAGGAACAAUCAGGAUCAAACAAGCCGUUGGCAAUAAAAAAGUUCUUAUUGUUCUUGAUGAUGUGAGCAACCGGGAUCAACUCAAUGCAAUUCUUGGAAUGCGAGAGUGGCUUCAUCCAGGAAGUAAAAUUAUCAUAACAACUAGACAUGAGCAUUUGUUAAAUGCUCAUAAAGUUUUUGAAAAGUUUAUGGUUCAAGGACUGGAUGAGGAUGAAUCACUAGAGCUUUUCUGUUGGCAUGCCUUCAGACAAUCCCAUCCAGAAGAAGGUUACAUGAAGCUUUCAAGACAUGUGGUCCAGCACUGUGGAGGGCUUCCAUUAGCUCUUCAAGUUCUGGGAUCUUCUCUAUCCGGAAAAUGUGUAGAAGUGUGGCAAAGUGCAUUGCAGAAGUUAGACGUGAUCCCUAAUGACAAAAUUCAAAAAGUUCUGAGGAUAAGUUUUGAUUCUUUACAAGAUGAUCAUGACAAAAAUUUAUUCCUUCACAUAGCCAGUUUCUUCACAGGAAAGAGGAUGGAUUAUACAAGUAGAAUAUUGGACAGCUUAGAGUUUUACACAAGGAUUGGGAUUGAAAAUCUAGUUGACAGAUGCCUAGUGAAAAUUCAAUGGAACAGGUUGGUCAUGCAUCAAUUGGUGAGAAAAAUGGCAAUGGAAAUUAUUCGUGAAGAAUCACCUGAUGACCCUGGAAAACGUAGUAGAGUGUUGCAGAAAGAUGCCUCUAAUAUUUUGAGAAAAUUAAGUGUAAGAACUAUGUUUUUCAUAUGUAUGUAUUUUUCGUUAUGAUUUGUAUGUGCAGUACUAGUAAUAUACUUACCCAAUUCUCUGAUUUGUUAGCAGGGUACGGAAAAUAUUAAGGGCCUCAUGCUCAACCUUGCUAGCAAAAGAACGUUUGUUCGAAGUGAUAAAAAACGAUGCCAUGUUGAAGAUUAUGAUGGAAAUUGUUCAAGACGACGUCGGCUUGGUUUCUUCUCUUGGAAGCCAAUUAGCUUUUCCUCCACAAACUCAGCUUCUGCAUCAAAUGAGAUAGAUUUCAAAUCUGAGGCAUUUAGAAGGAUGCAGAAUCUUGAAAUUCUCAUUCUCAACAACGUCAACAUCAGGGGAAGCUACGAAGAAUUUUCAAAAAAUUUAGUAUGUUUAUCUUGGCGGGGAUUCCACUUAAAAUCAAUACCAGAAAAUUUUUGUUUGGAAAACCUGGUUGUUCUAGACAUGCGAAAUAGUAGCCUACAACAUGUUUGGAAUGGGACCAGGGUAUGUAACUCUCUCUCUCUCUCUCUCACAAACACACACAAAUUAAUAGGGGCCAUUAUAUCGUCUUAGAAGCUAAUUCAUUUGUAUUAUUAUUGACACAGGUUAUUCCGAGGCUGAAGAUUCUUAAUUUCAGUCAUUCGCAUGGCCUUAGGACAAUCCCCGACUUCUCAGGACUCUAUAACCUUGAGAGGUUGAUUCUUAAACAUUGCUUAAAUUUGGUUGAGGUUCAUGAGUCCAUCGGACACCUAGAAAAACUUCUUGUUUUGAAUCUAAAAGGCUGCAAAAAUCUCAUGAAGCUUCCAAUAUUGAGAUCUAUUCAGGAUCUUAUUCUUUCUGGUUGCUCAAAGCUUGAAAUGAAGAAACUCAAUCUGGUAUCAUCUAAAUCAUGGUAUUCAGUCUGGUCGUGGGUGUCGCCAAGAAAAAAUACUAAAUUAAGCAGUUUCUCAUUGGCAAGUUUACCACGUUCUCUGACAAGUUUAAGUCUGGAUUGCUGCAAUAUAUCAGAGAUUCCAAGUGCCCUAACUAUGCUGUCCUCGUUAGAGUACUUGAAUCUGGAUGGUAAUCCGAUUACAAGCCUACCAGAAAGCAUGAACUAUCUUGUUAAGCUCCGGACUCUUAAAGGAUCUGAAUGCAGAAACCUCACAACACUUCCAGAGCUCCCACGUUCUUUGACGAGUUUAACGCUGGUUCGCUGCAAUAUAUCAGAGAUUCCAAGUUCCCUAACUAUGCUGUCCGCGUUAAAGUACUUGAAUCUGCAUGGUAGUCCGAUUACAAGCCUACCAGAAAGCAUGAACAAUCUUGUUAAGCUCCAGACUCUUAGAGUAUCUGGUUGCAGAAACCUCACAAUGCUUCCAGAGCUCCCACGUUCUUUGACAAGUUUAAAUCUGGCUUGCUGCAAUAUAUCAGAGAUUCCAAGUGCCCUAACUAUGCUGUCCUCAUUAAAGUACUUGGAUCUUGAUGGUAAUCCGAUUACAAGCCUACCAGAAAGCAUGAACAAUCUUGUUAACCUCCAGACUCUUGAUGUAACUGGUUGCAGAAACCUCACAAUGCUUCCAGAGCUCCCACGUAGUUUGGAACAAUUGCAUGAUAGAGGUUGCGCAUCAUUGAAAAGAAUAACAAAUUAACCGAAGUUGGCCAUGUCACCGGACUUAGAUUACUGGUUUUCUUGCAUAGUAAUGGACCCAAGGCUAUGGUAUUGUGGGAAACUUGUUGAUUUUAGAAGCUUGUUGGAUACACUAGCAUUGGUCUCAUAUCUCUCAGAUCUAUUCGAUUUGGAACCCAAAGGUGGCAUUGAGGUCCAAGGGAACUAUUGUGAGAGUUUGGGCGUCAAGGUUCUCUCUCUCUCUCUCUCUCUCUCUCUUAUGUACAGGUGCUUAUAAUAUGGUGAAUAAGAUCUCUAUGGCGUAAACGAUUAGAUUGUAAUGACAACAUCACCAUGGAACUGCAGGGAACUUUUGACUGCUGCAUAUUGAGCAUAUUUGUUCAGGGGAGCAAGAUUCCAGAUCGGUUCAAUUACAGGAGCAUGGGUAACACUGUGUUCUCUAUUAUUGUUCCUUCACAUCUUAAUCUCAAGAUCGUAGGUUUAAACGCAUGUAUAUUAUAUGCACAGCAGUCGGAUCGGAGCCUUGAGGUUGCACGUGGCCAUGAUCACCGUUCGCUUGAACUUAGGAAUGAGACAAAGGGCCGUAAGUGGAACUUAAGAAUGCGGAAUGAGGUUGAAUGGAACUUAAGAAUGCCGUUGGAUCAUGGGGAACAAUGAGUUGGAAUGCGGGGAAAGAGUGUGUCUUGCAAUCAAAGAGGACAAUGGUUUCCUCACAAAGGAGAUUGGAGUCCAGUUUGUGUACAAGCGGCAAAAUAAGGAUAGGGAGGAUGUGCCAUCAAGUAGUGAAGAUACAACGAUCCAACGAGAAAGAUCUCCUUGGGAGUAGACCCAAAGUUUCCUUGAAACCACAAGACCCCGUGUUCCGGGGGGUGUAGAGACGGGGAUUCAAUGCAUCCAUAGCUGCGAUAAGAAAGUAAUUUCAACUGUCAUGUGUGCGGCUGAAUACUAUUUCUGUAACAGUGACAGGAUCGAGAGGCUCUACCGCAGUGGGUCGUAGGCUUUCGGACUUUUAGCCAAAAUAACCCAGUUUAAUUGAUGUUGGUGAUGCCCAAAUCACUAGAUUCAGAUGUGUAUUGGUUGUUAAGCUUUCGUUUCUAUCUAUUUUCUGUUUCCUCCUAAAAAAUUGUUUUCAAGAAUUUAAUAAAAUUCCAUACCAAACAAGUUCUUGCCUAGAUAAGAGUAUGAACUAGCAAAAAUGCCCGUGCUGCGCUGCGUGGUUGUGUGACACGCAUUUGGUAAGCUUCGGGGGAGAUAAGAGUAAUGGUAGAACUUAAUGAAACUUGGUUGAUUAGAUUUUUUUUUUUUUUUUUUUUUUGUUCAUAGUAACGGGCAUUGUGCAGGUAAGUCAUUUUCUUCAGAGAAUUGGGGAACAGGUUCAUGGUCUUCUUUACACAAAUCUAUGUUUAGUUUACCACAUAGAUUAGUGGCAACGAUCACACGACCAUCGCCAACUACCGCUACUUCGAAAUCAAAAAACCGCAAACUAAGGUUAAGUGUUGGUAAAGAUGAAAGGUUAUAUGUAUUAUGUGACUAAUGACUGAUGUUGCCGAGACACGAAAAACAUGAAGCUUCCUGGAACUAUUUGGUUUAGUGAAAAGUAAAUUUCGAACAUUGUUUCGUGGUGUUACGCAUGCCAACCACAUACUCUGCGGGUGCUCACAAGGAUUCGACAUCUUCUUCCUGAUGCUCCAGAACAAUGGUGGCAAGAGCAAGUCUAUAAGCUGAAGAUCUCAAAUUCCUGACUAGAACAUAUAUUUCCUUUCGUCUUCGCUUAGCUGGCACCAAAUCCCAUUGUUCCUCUCUGAGACGAGCGAGUACAACUGCCUCGCAAAAAGCUUCUGCUACUGGCUUCUUGCUGCAUAUAAAAUAAAAUGCAAUUUAGCACAUGGAAAAUGAUGAACGCAUAGCAAAAUAGAAAGAAAAGAUGGUCGUUGUAAAGUGGCAAGAGGCUGUGAACUAACAUCCCUCUAACAAAACCAGUGGUGACGAAGCCCAUUGGCGAACGAUAAGUUUCUCUAAGAACAGGGUCCUCUGGCAUUUGGAGUUCCCACUUACCAGAAGAUUGCUCUGUGAAGUACGAAGCCACAGCAGAUUGAGGCAUUUGAAGUCCUCCAUCGAAACUCUCUGACCUGCAAGACACACACAUGAAGCUUAUUUUUCAAAAUUAUUGGUCUGCAGCAUGAAUGGUGCUCUGAAAUACGUAUAAAGUCUUUCAAAAAUAGCUGCAAAACUUCAAGUCACUCCCACGAUUAAAAUUUUCAACGGUUACAUUAAAUCUCAGAAAAUUUUCAUCAAUGCAAGUUCUGAAUAAGAGACGUAAUGUAAAUAGGUCACAUUAUCUCCUCUACUAGUAUAUAAAAGACGAGAAAAUUUCAAGCACCACCGUUGUAAUACAAUCAUAAGCUUAUAGGAUAGCAUAUAAAUCAUAAGCUUAUAGGAUAUCAAAGAAAAAAUGACUACCUAGUCCACAGUGAUAUGUCCGUCAGUCGAGGAGCUCCCUCUUCAAGAAAACCUUCCUUGUAAGCAUGGAGUAAUACUCCAACAAAACAUAGUUUAUGAUUGUACUUAAAUCUAGUAAACUGAUCUUGGCCCGGACCAAGCUUGAUUUCGACCCUCAUAAACUUCGUGAAACUUCUCUCCUUAUCAGCGACAUAUGGAAACAGACGUAAAUGACAGCCUUGAAUUUCACUCAAGAAAUUUGUCAGCAAAAAACUCGUCUGUGCGAUAAAACCAUCAAAUGAAUUUCCAUGACAGCCGGCUAAUGUAGUAUCAGAAUUUCCAGAGUCUGAAUUAGUGAUGAAUAGCUUCUGAUGCCAUGUUGCUGCCUAAAACUUUCAGCAUCUCCAACUGCAUUUGAUUCUUCGUUUAAAGCAACUUGGAUACUAUUCCAUGGGGAUAAAAUGGGAACCCUCAAAGGUCUUAUGGCUGGAGGAUGAAGUUCCUCUUUAAGAUUAGAGGCAGCAGCUUCGGUCUCCUUGAGGCAUAAAUAUGCAUCGCAAUCAGGAAAAUCUGAAGGAAUAUAUGGCAACCCCAUCUAGAAAAUAAAAGGGACUUAGAUGCAACAUUCGAUAACCUGAUAUUAAAUAUUAUAAUUUACACGUAAUAAGUUUCAAUGCUUACUUCACACGAAAUCCAGCGCUUCUCUCUCAACCCCAUUGCAUGAGCCCCCUUAGAGACAAGAGAAAUCCAAAAUGCCUUGACCCAGCUUAAGGGGAGUAUAACAGACCAUCUGUAAGGCAAUAAGAGAUAGACUUCUAAGGUAACUUUAAAAAUAUAUCAUACUCAAUUGAACAGAUGAUAAAGUUUGAUGCAUUGAUGGAAUUUUAAGGCGAGUCAGAAAAAAACAGAUUGUCACAUUCUACUUUCAUGAAAUCCAGAACUUCGAAGAUCACGUUAUCAAUUAUUGCACAAAGAGUCAGCAGGAACAUUUAUGCCAUGACUUUCAUGUUUCCGAUAAAAAGACAUAGAACUCCAUAAUAUAUAUCUUAUGAGAAACAAAAUAUAUUAACAGUUUAUAAACAGUACGAACAUACAACUCAGGAGAAAUGGUGCCCACUGAACCCACAUAUAAGCAUUAAUACAAGUACAUAAAAUAUGCAGCAAUUAGCUUAAUCCACAUAACACUAAAUGGAAGAAUAAACCAGGAAAAAAAGGAGUUUACCCAACAUGCAAGCCUCUUCCGUUACUAUCUUCAAAAGCAUAAUCGGGCAAGAUCAUGAGCCCUGUGACGUGGAGGAAGUAUUUAGUUCCCCUGAACUUCAAUCAUCGAGGCUGAACAAAUUCCUAUUCUGGUCAUGUUUUUCCUUGCAAAGAACAGCCUCUUCCACUGGAGGGCUUACUCCACUGCUAACAUCCUACAAAUUGUUUGCUCUGAUCUUGCCAUUACCUGCAGGUUCAUCUGAAAAUCGUCCAAAGAUAACAUGCUUUUUGUCUUCAGCUCCUAGUACAUCACCUAGUAUACUAGCUGAACCUAAAUCUUGAGCAUCUGCAGUGUUUCCCUUCUCUGUUAAUGUGCAAGGAUCCUUGACAUUAAGGGACAAAAUUGCAUGAGAAGGAAUUUCCUCCUCAUUUUUAAGAUGAAUUGUAGAUUGGGAAUCCUCAUCCGCCUUGGCAGCUGAAUGUCUCAUCAACUUCCAAGAAUUAUCUCUAGUCCUAUUCAGCCAGACAACAAAAUUAGCCAUCUUUAACCUCAUUACUUGGUUAUGUCACUGAAAUCCUCUCCGUAACUCACCUGGUAGAAGGGAUUAAUGUCCUUUGAAGGAGUUGAAAUGCUUUUGAUCCCACUAAUUCUAAUUUUGCAAGUUGACCCUCAAGUGAGAAACAAUUAAUCACGAUGUCCCUGCCCUCCAUCUAAGAUAAUAAAGCAUUAUAUGAAUAACAGUAAAUAAUCUACCGAGAACAUGUAGUAUCAUCUAACAGUAUGAGUUCUCUAUUCUGACAUCUACCAAGUCUAGACUAGAGGCAAACUUUGACACCUAAGCACAGCACAAAAACCACUUGAGAUAGCAUUUGAAAAAAAAUGUUGGCUUAUCAGAGAAUCAAGUACAAAGCAUAGAAGUAGACGAGUUUCAGUAUUGCCCUAAAUCAUCAUUCACUCAAAGAAUUCAAUACCAAACCAGGGCUGUUGCAUUCUAUCUUAAGAUCCAUAAAUCAUUAUUUCCUUCCUUCUGACGUGAAGUCAGAUGAGAUUAAGCCUCUAUACACUUGCUAUUGAUGUAUGUGUGAACAAAAAGAAGGAAUGGGUACCUCUUUUUGGCAAGCUAAUUUCAAAGUGUCAUAAGCUUCAGUGAGAGCAGAAGCAUGUAUCCACACCCAAAGCUGGCGAUCAGUAGAAGAGUGGUUUGUACUCUCUAGUCCUUUAAAUUCAUCGCCUUCACAGUCAGCUGCAUUAUUAUCUCUAUUUGGUUGGCCAGAAGGCCGCCACAUACAGUUCACAGGAGCAAUUGGUUUUGAAAGAGGUGCUCCCAAAUGAUGAAGCUGCAAAAAAUGGGUCAUCAAGUCAAUACCUCAAGUCAUCCACAUUCACAAAGAAAAGUGCAAUAGGAUAACUUACCAUAGCAUUAUCAUAUAUGACGCCAGAAAUAACAGAACGGGAAACAUUUUCAGAACGAGUUGACUGAGGAGACACCAUUACCAUGCCUAACACUGAUAGUAACGAAUCCUGGAUGCAUAUGAAGUAGGGUGUAACAUCAUAAUUUAGUAGCAGAAAAUAACAUAUUGCAACACUUUUCCUUUUGAAGAAAAAUAAAUUAAAAGGUAUACAAUUUCAUAGGAAUAAAUUCAUAAGAUAGAAAGUAAAUGCCUGCCUCCGGCCCCUCCAAUUGGAUAGCUACAUGAUAGCUUGCAUCAUGAACAAGCACUCCAUCCCUGAACCACUUCAAGACAGCUCUGGACCCCCUUCCUCUACAUUUUAUUGUUUUUUUUUUUUUUGAUAAAAUAGAUAUACAAGCGAAUUAGUUAUUUAUUGAGAAAUAGAAGAAAUAAUAAGCGAAAAGUAAAGAAUAACACUGCUAAAUUAAUAUGCGUUUUACCUGCCCUGCAAACCCAAGGGAAGGUAGUAACCCCAAAGCUCUGUCAUUGCGAACCGCUUCGCAUGCCAAACAUGUGUUCUAAGCCUCUUUGUACCAUCCCCUGAUGUGCAGAAACCCUUUUCAAGGUUCAUUUUAAGCUCAGCUCUCCUACGAAUGCGAUGAGGAACAUUCUUGUCAUCUUUCUCUGGAGGCAAUGUCAAAGCAUUACUCUGAUCAAGUUUUCUCUAUUUUCUAAAUCUUUUUUUGGCGGCUUGAUUGUCGUAAGCAGUGGUUCUUCUUCUCUUGCUUCUCCGAGACCGGAAAUCAUUGUUCAAUCUGUUAGAUACAAUUGAAUGGAGUGUCUCAAGCUCUGAACCCCGUGAUUCUGCAAACUUUUGGACAUUGAUUUUUCGAGGCGGAGCUGAUGAAACCUGUUGCCGUCUGAAACCAUCGGUAGCCAUUAGACAAAAUUAAACCCCUCAGAUGAAGAACGAUAUUAUACCAGUCUGCCACACAAUUAUAAUCGCCUCUUCACUCUUCGGACAUCAUUGGUCUCUAUUCGCAGUACUACUCUAUUACUCUGAAAUGUCCAAAAACAAAUUGUAAGAUUCUUCAAAGCGUAGCAAUCGCAACUGGUUCCAAUUCCAAUUACUUUUUAUGGCGCAUUUACGUAACGUAAUCAAAAUAGAGGAAUUGAAUUGAGGAGGACUCAGAAUCGGAUUCUAUUGAAGCUGUUGGAAUCGGAUUCUAUUCGCAGUACUAGUACUGUGAAAUGUCCAAAAACAAUUUUUGAGAUUCUUCAAAGCUUAGCAAUCGCAACUGUGGUUCCAAUUCCAAAUAAAUAUAAAGUUCGAAACAAUAGAAAACAUCAGAUACGAAAUUCACAGUCUAACUAACAUGAUAACAUCAAUGAUACAACAACUUCAACUUAACUUUCGAAAACCAAUAUGUAAUGACACAAAGCUAAAUGAGCAACUACUGCGGUAUCCAAUAAAUAUAUAAAGAUUGAAACAAAGAAAACAUUAAGAUAAGAAAUUCUGAAUGCAAUGUGACCAACAAAAUCAAUUACUUGGCACUGGCACUGCCACUGUAGGAAUUUAACAAAAGAAACUCCUCACAUCAACCACCAGUUGCAUUGCGUGUAUCAAAACUCACCAGAUAUGCUCACAAAUUCAUACUAACAAUUAUUUUAAAAACAAAAUCAAAAUAAGAACAAGGAUGCAGUGCAGUGCAGAUUCACUCGAAAACUAAGUGAGAUUGCGGGAUUAUCGGAACUGAAUGGCUUGGAUUUGCGUUUCAGCUUCUGGUUAUCUAGUGGUAGACGUCACAAAAUUAGUAAAAUUAACUAAUUUGAAUGAAAAUAAAGAAUAAAACUUUACCAUGGGAAUCUGCAAGCAGAGAUAGAGAGAGAGUACCUGAGGACUGAGAGAAGAAGAAUAUGUGAGAGGGAGAGGAGAGAGAUUUUGCAGCUGAAGAGUGGAGAAAGAAAGGAGGGAAAAGGGGUACCGAGCAAGUGGCAGCCUACUUGAUACCUGGAGCAAUUUAAUUGAUUACCGUUGGAUCAAUCUCAACGGCUGAAACUAAACACUUUCUGUAUCCAAGAAAAACAAGGCAUCGGACUGAAAACUCCAUUCAGGACUCGGAUUGAUUCAUCAGCGCGCUCACUCUCACUCUGUUGUUUUAAGUGAUGGAUCAUAUAAACUAAGGAAGCCAGAUCGUCGUUGUUUUCAGAGAAACACAUCUUCUCGGCCCUCUCAACUCCGAAACACACACGAGGGAGGCCAAAUGGGCCUCAGCCUUCUUCCUCGCAAUCUCACAACAAACCCAUACCUCUACCAAACGGCCCUCGCAACCUCUACCACUUUCGCUGAUUCAAUCCACGUCUUCGUCGAGGUAAAGACUUCAUCUUUUUCAAUGUUAGAGUUAAUGGGUUUUACCCCUUUACCUGAUCAAGUAUGUAAUCGCCAUUGUAAACUUGCAUGCUAGUUCUUCUCUGAUCAAGGCCAGGAAGUCGACCGAUGCUAAAUUGGAUUAUUCUCACAUCACGGUAAAACAAUUUUUGAAAUUACUGCCUGAAGUUUACUGCAUUUUCGUCACUAAUCUAAACCCAGAUAUGAGAUAUCGAAUAAGUAGCAAAUUGAUUUUGGGAUUUUAGGUUGAGCUUCGGACAGUUGAUGGGUUCUUGAAGGAUAGCACUCAAGAGUUACUACUUCAUUCCCGUUUAUGACAAGGUAUUAUUUCUUAUUCUUUUUCGGUGUCAGAUUUCGCUGGAUCUUUGCAUUUCACGUGCUCUCAUGCUUCAGUGAUGAUGUUGUGUUGUCUGUUAAAUUAUCGGAGGAGAUGGCGAAGAGCUAGACCGGUAAACGGUCGGAUUUAUUGGAUUUGAGUCGGGUUGAAUCCGAUCUGUUAAUUUAAUGGGUCAUUUAAACCCAACCCGUUAAAUUGACUGAUCAUCCGAACCCAACUUGUUAACAUUUUAUCCAAAUCAAUUACAAUCCCGUUUUAUAUAGUAGAAUUCGACUUUCUAUCAAUUAUAUGCAUCUCCUAAUCUUAACAUGGAUGAGAAAAUUGUAUAAGUAAAACACAACUUCGGCAGACCCGACAAUGAUGAGCCCUGCGAGGCUUGUAUUUAGAACACUUUUCACAGCCCCCAUGUCAGAGAUCAAGAAUCAAAAGUUUCAAAAUUAGCUACAGAGAGAAGAAAUCAGCAUUUUUAAUGUGCGGCUAGACGCACUGCCAUAAAGUACUUGAUGACGUGAACUCUUCAAAAAUUCAAUGAAAGUGGGUUGCAGGGGGAAGAGAGAGAGAGCUUUGCUUUUAAUAGUGCAGUACUGCAGUAUUCCGUCGAGUUGAAGAAGACGUCGGAGAGAGUGGUAAUUUCUGAGGAAGAAGGUGAGGGGGAAGUUCUCAGAGAUGACGUGCACACUACUGCAAUAGUGCAAUGCGAGAGAGUGAGGGUUUCAUUAUUACUAUUGAAAUUACACAAAAGCCCUCAAUAACGAGUGUUAACGGGUGGUUAAUGGGUUUCGCAGGUUCAUCCAAAAUAACCCGUUAUUUAACGGGUGCUUAAUGGGUUGACCCCGUUAACUACCCGACCCGAUAAACACUCAUCCACAUACUCAUUUUAACGGGUCAGAUCGGGUUGGGUUAACGGGUCGGAUUUAAAAUGCCAGUGCUACGAAGAGCCAUACACUUGGUAUUGCUUACUCGACUGAAACUCUCUGGUUGGGACUGUUAAUUGUACAGUUGAACUACACCACUCUCACAUCAUGAAUGACAGGUUUUGUUUUUGUUAUAGAUCAAGUCCUGAUUUGCCUGUAUUAUUGUUGAUCUUGGUAAGUUUACUUAUUUAGCUUUAGUUGGGUUCCUAAUUAUGCAUGCUUGUACUUUUUGUUCCAUACUUUGAAAUUGGCUUCAACCGCAAGAUCAUUCAAUUUGGUCACUUUUUUUUUAUAAUUUGGAACUAGUCCCCUAGACCAACCAACCUUCUUUAUAAUUUGACUCCUUCACGUAAAGCCACAUGCCCCCAAAAAUACCCUAAACCCGAAAGUCAAAUUAACUUUUGACCAAAAAAACCAAAUAUUGUCAAAUUAACGGUUUGAUUAAUGGAGGUAUGAAAUUGCUAAAAAAUACAAGUUUGUGUAUGAGAUUAAAAUGCUCUAAAGAUGUUGUAUGAGGUUACAAUUACACUCACACUUAGGAUGUAAAAUGUUAUUUACUUAAUUUUAAUUGUAAAUUUUGAAGUUUUCAAGGGCAAUUUAUGGUAUUUACAUUUAGAAUGCUUCACAAUAUAAAGUCUCCCACUUUAUAGAUAUAGACAAUUUAAUUGUAAAUUUUGAAGUUUUCAUGGAUAAUUUAUGGUAUUUUGAAUGUUUCAUCCUAUAUAAAAUUUAUGGUAUUUUGAAUGUUUCAUCCUAUAUAUAUAUAUAUAUAUAUAUAUAAAGGUUUAUGUACACCUCGUGUAACUUUUUUUUGUCCUAGUUUCAUCAAAGAACUGCUAGUGGGGGAUUCUCCACAAAAAUUGAUAGUCAAAGUCCUCUCAAAUUCUAUAUUAUCCUCAACAUCCCAUUCACUUACGAGGAAACUUCGUCGUCAAUAAGUGUGGAGUGCCUGGUGGCUAAUGGGAACCUUCCUCUUCAUAUAUCAUAUUAUGUCUUGUCCCUCUCAGAAACUGCAUAUAAUUGUCCUUGGCCUUGCAUAUGCUUGCCCUGCUUUCAUUCAUUGCGAGAACCAAGAAGCAGAGGGUUUCUCUAGAUGGAUGCUUUCCGAGAUUCCUCUUCCUCCUCUUACCGGUGUUCCUAUCAUGCCUUCUUGAGUUUCAGAGGCCAGGACACGCGCAGGGGCUUUACUGAUCACCUCUAUAGAGCCUUGGAGCUAGCAGGAAUCCACACGUUUAGAGACGAUGAUGAAAUCAAGAGAGGGGAGAAUAUUGAGUCGGAGUUAGACAAGGCGAUACAGGAGUCACAAGUAUCGAUAAUUGUCUUCUCCAAGGACUACGCUUCCUCAAGGUGGUGUUUGAACGAACUUCUGAAGAUCGUGG